rnacentral:lncRNA from 1 species
UUCAAGUCAUCCCAUCACCCGCGUAUCUUCUCCAUCUUCAUCUCCCCUGCUUCCAAAUCUCCCAGAUCUAUUCUCAGCCACAUCCAGCCAACGACUGCACUUCCAAACUCCCAGCUGGUGAGCAUCUCUUCCUUAUCCAGAUCCCAUGCUCAUCCUCUUCUUCGGAUCAAGCCAGUGAACCCGAAUCCCAUGCUCUCUGCGUUCCUUCCAACGUCUUCCCAUCUAGCCAAUGGCUGCAUUCCAACCCGGAUAAGCUCGGAUUAGCUUCAUCUUCAGCAAUAUCUCUCAUGGAUAAGGUCCAAGUUUUUUCUCCUCAUUUCCUCUGGCGACUCCCCUGUUUCACGCAUCUUCAUCUCAGCCAAAUCCUCAGCAUCCCAGAUCUCCCAGCAUCCCGCUUCUUUUGGAUCAUCUCCCAUCCACGGACGUGGUCCAUCUUUAUCCAAGCAAACCUCAGGAUCUCAUUCCUCCCAACGGCUUUCUUCUCAUCUUCCUCUCUCCCACUGCAUCCAGCUCACGGUUCGUCACUUCUUCCCAACCAUUUUCCAUCAUCUGCGGAGGAGAUUAAGCCUUCAUAGAAUCCCCUAUUUCAAGAUUUCAUCCCGUACAAUGCAUCCAUGCCAUCCUCUUCUUCCAUUCGCUUCCAGCAAAUCUUCACACCUCAACCUCAUAAUCAGUCCGGCUUGGCUUUGUUCCUCCCAGAUUCUAAAAUCACCUCCCACGAUUCUCUACUCCGGAUUAACUCCAUCAUCCAAGGGCAGAAUAGAGUCAUCCAAGAUCAUCCAGUCGUUCCUAGAUUUCCUCCCAAGCCAUCAGCCGAAUCCAACCUUCCAUUAUCCACGGAACAGAGCAGCUGCAUCUCAUCCGAAUUAGCUCGCAUCCAGCCAUUUCAUCCCCCUGCGUCCAGCUCUCAUCCAUGAGUUCCUCCCAGCCAUGAACAUCAUCCCUGUUUUCAGCCGAAGGAUUCCCAGCUUUAUCCGCAAUCUCGCUUGAUCCUUCCGAGCUUCACGGACCAACAAACUCGGCAACCAUCUCCUCUUCAUCACGGAUCAACUACUUCCAGAUUCUUCACGUCCGCGGAUCACAGCCAGCAGCCAUCCGCGAUUCAAGGCUUCUUCUGCAUCAUCUCUCAGCAUGAUUCACCGAAUCCAGUUCCUCCCAGAGCCUCCGAGAUCCAGCUCCAACUUCUCCCGCAUCCGAAUCUCCCGCGGCCAACAAAUCUCAGCUUCAUCCAGCUUCGAUCCAUCCUUAUCCCCAUGUGAAAUAGGGAAGAGGAGCAAGGGGGAGUUGCAGCCUAUAAAAGGCCCAGCAUGAACCGAGAAGGGCAUU